AAGGGGACUCAGUAAUUCCAGAUUUGACUCCUGGUCCGCGCUAAUUGCGAGCUAAUCCCAGCUACGGCCACGAUAAAUCGGGUCCGAUCGACCUCGAGGGAUCCGGGUUAGAGAGGAACUUCAGCAGACGGUGUUCUUACUCCUGAUUGCUCUCCGGUGAAACCCGCUGGAAAGUGUAUAUGUGCUGCCAAUCUCGUCAGGAUCUGAUGGACCGGAGGUUUUGACGUUGCCUGGUGGCUGAAUGGGGUUUCCGAUCGCUAUUCGAGCGCGGUGCACCUUCCAUUCCAACAAUCUAUCACUGAGAUUUCCACGUCGAGUUGGGCUGUAUGGAAUCCUGUUUGGUUUGGAUGCUCUUUAAGUGUGGUGGUGGGUAUCCACACGGGUCAGACACCCGGCUGACUGAAAUAAAAUCGCGAUUCGAUGACCUCCCCCCUUGCUGGAAGGUGCCAACAUGUAAUUUCCAGCUUUUAAAACGACCAGACUGGACGUGCACCGUAUUCGCAAGCAAAACACUUCCUUUUGAAGUUGAAACAAGAAGCAAUGCGUUUUUCUUACCCCCUCAAGAUGAACGUCAUUCGGUUUCUUGAGCUCCAGCAAAGGAGCUUUACUGCAGUUCACAUGGAGGCACACGUUGUGUGUGGCAUGUACAGUAUGGGUACUCAAUGGGAGCAGUAAAGCUUUACUGCUUACAUAGCAAGUGAUCAUCAUUCUCCCACCAGUGAGGUAAGACAAAGUGGAUCUGACAUUCCGACCAGUUUUAGCCUGGGAGACCAGCCUGACUUAAAAAUUGUCACUUCGCUCAUAAUUGUGGAAAAUUAAAUCAAAUUGGGUCUUAAUU